AGGAGUGUAGCUCAGUUGGUAGAGCAGCGGUCUCCAAAACCGCUUGUCGCGGGUUCGAUUCCUGCCACUCCUGCCA
rnacentral:tRNA from 1 species